rnacentral:tRNA from 1 species
GGGCCAUGGCUCAGUGGUAGAGCAGCUCUUUGGCAUGCAGAAGGCCCCAGGUUCAAUCCCUGGCAUCUCCA